GACCGUCGUGAGACAGGUUAGUUUUACCCUACUGAUAAAGCGUUAUCGCAAUAGUAAUUCAGCUUAGUACGAGAGGAACCGCUGAUUCGCAUAAUUGGUAUUUGCGGUUAGCUGACAAGCUAAUGCCGCGAAGCUACCAUGCGUCGGAUUAUGGCUGAACGCCUCUAAGUCAGAAUCCCUGCUAGAACGCGGUGAUCUCUUGCUCUCUGAUGUUGUGUUCAUGAAUAGGCCCCCGGGCCCGAUGGCAGUGUUUUGGCGGGGUUGUCUGUGCGUGGCUGGAAGCAGCUCGUGCGGCGCCUGCCGAGGAAACCCGUGUGAUGUUGGAGAGGUGAAAUCCCUUGCAGACGACUUGAAUGAGGAACGGGGAGUUGUACG
rnacentral:rRNA from 1 species